rnacentral:rRNA from 1 species
CUCAUUACAUUUUAGUGGAAGGUUCUGGAAAGUUCCGCAAUAAAGGGUGAUAGCCCCGUACACAAAAAGGUGUUUUGAGUGAAAUCGAGUAAGUCGGGACACGUGUUAUCCUGACUGAACAUGGGGGGACCAUCCUCCAAGGCUAAAUACUCCUGACUGACCGAUAGUGAACCAGUACCGUGAGGGAAAGGCGAAAAGAACCCCUGUGAGGGGAGUGAAAUAGAUCCUGAAACCGUGUACGUACAAGCAGUGGGAGCCCCUUCGUGGGGUGACUGCGUACCUUUUGUAUAAUGGGUCAGCGACUUACAU